ACCCAUGAAGAGCAGGAUGACGCUGAGGAUGGGGAAGAUACUAGACGCUCGCACGGCCCCUACAGAUGGAGAGACGGAGAAGAAGUUCUCAUGCGUCACCGUCCGUCUCUUUCCCUUGAGCACAUAGCGGCAGGGGGUGGGGGGUGGAUUUGGUCGUUUGCUCCGGCCUGGACUGAGGAGCGUGACUGUCACACCUCGCCAGCUACAGUAGGUGCUAACCGCAGGUCUGCAGAGGUGGAAACAUCUCCGUUCAUCCUCUCUACACAUCAAGAGCCUCUCCGAUGCCAACCGUGAAGA